UACGAAGGGGGCUAGCGUUGCUCGGAAUUACUGGGCGUAAAGCGCGCGUAGGCGGCUUUGUAAGUUAGAGGUGAAAGCCCGGGGCUCAACCCCGGAACUGCCUUUAAGACUGCAUCGCUUGAAUCCGGGAGAGGUGAGUGGAAUUCCGAGUGUAGAGGUGAAAUUCGUAGAUAUUCGGAAGAACACCAGUGGCGAAGGCGGCUCACUGGACCGGCAUUGACGCUGAGGUGCGAAAGCGUGGGGAGCAAACAGG
rnacentral:rRNA from 1 species